UGAAUAGCAUAGUUAUCCUGCCAGAAUCACCAAUAUAUUUGUUAAAACAAAAAUAAAUAAACAACCAUGAAGUUUGGAUUUAAAGAUGAAUGAGGAAAAUACUGAGUUUUGUGUAUUCUAUCCGGAAAAGAAAAUAAUCAACAGUGAUAGCCUACUGAUUAGUUCUUGCUCCAAUGCAUUUCUGAUAAGCUUAUGCCUCUGGCAUUGGCACUGUCUUUACUGGAGCAUCCUCUAACUAUAGAUAAGCCUCUAGGCUGUCCUUAAUGCCAGAGGAAUGGUGGCUUAUGAAAAGCUUGGGCAAAAGUAGCAUUCAACUUAGCCUAAUCUCAAACAAGCUGGAGUUUAAUUACAAAUUUUGUUUUAUUUAGAUUUAGAAUUUGUACGAGCUGUUUGUAAUUUUUUACUGCUUCAG
rnacentral:misc_RNA from 1 species